rnacentral:rRNA from 1 species
UGGGGAAUAUUGCACAAUGGGCGAAAGCCUGAUGCAGCGACGCCGCGUGAGGGAUGACGGCCUUCGGGUUGUAAACCUCUUUCAGCAGGGACGAAGCGCAAGUGACGGUACCUGCAGAAGAAGCACCGGCUAACUACGUGCCAGCAGCCGCGGUAAUACGUAGGGUGCAAGCGUUGUCCGGAAUUAUUGGGCGUAAAGAGUUCGUAGGCGGUUUGUCGCGUCGUUUGUGAAAACCAGCAGCUCAACUGCUGGCUUGCAGGCGAUACGGGCAGACUUGAGUACUGCAGGGGAGACUGGAAUUCCUGGUGUAGCGGUGAAAUGCGCAGAUAUCAGGAGGAACACCGGUGGCGAAGGCGGGUCUCUGGGCAGUAACUGACGCUGAGGAACGAAAGCGUGGGUAGCGAACAGG